rnacentral:rRNA from 1 species
CCUACGGGAGGCAGCAGUAGGGAAUCUUCCGCAAUGGACGAAAGUCUGACGGAGCAACGCCGCGUGAGUGAUGAAGGCUUUCGGGUCGUAAAACUCUGUUGUUAGGGAAGAACAAGUGCUAGUUGAAUAAGCUGGCACCUGACGGUACCUAACCAGAAAGCCACGGCUAACUACGUGCCAGCAGCCGCGGUAAUACGUAGGUGGCAAGCGUUAUCCGGAAUUAUUGGGCGUAAAGCGCG